GCUGCGUGCCCUCGCGUAAGGGUCCUCCUGAGUCGGUCGGCGACAGUGUCGAGGACAAGCUUUCACAAGCCGAAGAACCGGACAGCAAGUUGUAGAUAAACUGUGACUGGUAGUGACCCGUUUGUUUGUGUGUUCCUGUUAAGACUAUAUACAUACUGUGUGUUCCUGUUAAGACUGUAUGCAUACUUCAGAUGACAGCAGUGACUUGCACAUUCUACUGAUUUUUCGUGAGAACAACUGUUGACUUCAAACACCUUCAAAAAAGCUAAUCUGAACCUACAAGCUGUAAUAGCCAGGUGUCGUGACUUACAACCACCACCAGAUGACACUGUUCUAGGCGAUGAUGCCUCUGCAGAGUCAUUGUCGUAUUACGAAUGCAAAACCUUAUCAACGAGAUAGGAAUGAAUACCAUUCAGCUCAAGGAACAAACAAAACCCAGAGUUUCUUUGUCAGCUGUAUAAUCCUUCUCUGUACAAAGUACAGGUUGCUCUAAGUAAAUUACUGGGUAUCAAAUUCAAAAUUUCUUUACCACAUGCUUGAAUUCAUAGCAAACAGUCCAUGCUGUUGAUUUAUGCAUUCAUAUAUUCAUCUGGGCAGAUAGUGGCCUGAACUCAGUGCAAGUAAAACAGAGGAAAGAGGUUCACUAAUUAAUUGCAUAAAGAUGGUGAGUGGCAUGAGAGAGAAGUCAGUGAGCGUGUUCAAAAUGCACAAGGCUAUGGAAAGAGCAAGAGCACUGUCUGAAAAUGCUGAAAGGUACCAUAAAGGCUGAAAUUGUUUAUGCUGAGAAGAUGAGAGGAAUAAAGUCACUUCAGAGAGAAGAAGAAAUUAUAGGCAUCACUGCUCUGCACCUUGGGAGGGAGCAGAACCUCUCUGUUUUAACGGGAAAGUUGAAAUCACAUUUCAUGCCAUAUACCCGUCUUUCCAAAAGUACAAAGUGCAAGCUCAGCCAGUAAACACAAACUACUAAGAACCACUGCAGUAAGCUGGCUCACUCGAGAUAUCUUUUUUUAUAUGAAUGGGAAUAUAAGAGAUCUAGAGAUUUAAAAUUGAGUGGCGUGGUGUGAUCUUGCAAGAGUCUGAUUUUCCUAAAACAAAAAUAUUAAUUUUAUCACUACCUUAAGUGAUAUUUCCUUUGUGCUUUCUCUAGAGUGUCAGAACCUUUUUUUAAAAUUCUAUUUUACUUUAAUUAAUUUAAUUAUAUUUAAAACUCUGAACACCACUGAAAGAGAGCUAAUGAUGCAAUAAACCAGCAACCAUUUUUAUCAAUAGUAAUGCAAGUAAUGAGUUUGACUUAAAAUUACUUCGCAUAAGAUGGUCAUUUGAGUGACCACUUCAUCCUUAUUUCUGUGAACAAAAAAAAACCCAAACAUGCCUCCCUGUGGUAUUUUCGGGGUCCCCAGGAUGAAGGAGGAAUUGAUAAUUCCUCCAAUUGACAAUUGAUAAUUGUCUCUAUGUUCUUUGAAGGCUAAUUUUUUAUUUUAUGUUACUUAUAUUAAAGAAUGCUAUACUAACAAAUAGAGACAGGAUACAUCAGGCGGCUUAACAAGAUACUGAUUAAAAAUUCAUUACUGACUCCUCACAGUCUUGACACAGCUGGAUGGUGAUUGGUUAUUAAGUUAAAACAAUUCACAUGAAACCAAUCAAACAAUGACCAGUUGGUAAACAAUCUCCAGACCACAUUCCAAAG